rnacentral:rRNA from 1 species
GCGGCUUAAUUUGACUCAACGCGGGACAGCUUACCAGGCCCGACGGCCGGACGAGUGUAGUACACGAUAGGUCGAAGAGUGGUGCAUGGCCGUUAACGACGAGUGAGGUGACUUUUGGGUUAAAUCCGGGAAGUAGUGAGACCCCUACCGAAAGGGACAGGUGCCGAAAGCACAGGAAGGAAGGGUCAAGAACAGGUCAGUGAUGCCCUCAGAUGGUCUGGGCUGCACGCGCACUACAGUGGUCAUAGAAAUGAAAGUAUAGAAUUAAAGAUGAUCGAGAGGGAAUGAGCUUUGUAAGAGGCUCAGGAACGAGGAAUUGCUAGUAAUCGCGGACUCAUUAAGGCGCGAUGAAUACGUCCCUGUUCUUUGUACACACCGCCCGUCGUUAUCGAAGAUGGAGUCAGGCGCGAACAAGCGAGAGCGAGUGAGUGCAGGAUUCUAGAUGUGAUACAAGUCGUAACAAGGUAGCUGUAGGAGAACCUGUAGCUGGAAC